rnacentral:lncRNA from 1 species
AUGUCCACGCUGCGUCCAUCAAAGGGUCAAGGACUGGCUGGCAGGCCAUGUCAAGGAACUGGGGCCAGAACUGGCAGAGCAACAACUACCUCAACGGUCAGAGCCUCUCAUUUAAGGUCACCACCAGUGACGGCCGCACCGUGGUGUCCUACAAUGUUGCCCCUUCGGGCUGGUCCUUUGGGCAGACCUACAGUGGAGCACAGUUCCGCUAGGAACCCUAGCUAUUUAUGCGCUUAGGGCAUUGCCUCCCAGCACACCUGGAACCACACGAUCACGUGUAAGACACCACGUGAUUGAGUGGCGAGCAAUGCCCUAAGAGCACUGGAGUGUAUAAAU